CGCGGGGUGGAGCAGCUUGGUAGCUCGUCGGGCUCAUAACCCGAAGGUCGUGAGUUCAAAUCCGGCGCCCGCAACCA
rnacentral:tRNA from 1 species